UUGGUAGGACAGGCAGUGGGAAGUCUACUCUAAUCGGUGCUCUAUUUCGGCUGGUUGAGCCAGCCGGAGGGAAGAUCAUAGUCGAUGGCAUUGACAUCUGCACUAUAGGCCUUCAUGAUCUGAGGUCAAGAAUUGGAAUAAUACCUCAAGACCCUACUCUCNNNNNNNNNNNNNNNNNNNNAUAUGUGUUUGUCGGUGAGUCGUGGUUUGAUUGGUUAAAGUGUUAACUAACAACUUAAUUUAAGACCAUGAGUUCAAAUCUCAUAUGUAUGAUCUGUUAGUUAUUCAAUAAAAAAAGUUUUAUAUAUAUACAGGUCUUCUCGGUUGAUUUUCAUUUUUGCACCAUUUUUCGAUCCAAUUUCCUCAUCUCCACCGUCCAGUAUAUCUAGAUAAUAUUGGGUAGAUCAUCUCUGCAAAAUUUCAGCCAAUUUGGUAAUCGUUAAAGCCCUCAAAAUUGUGUUUUCCUGGCAUAAACAUGAACCGGACAGAAUUCAGUCCGUCUAUUUGUUUUUCGAGUUUAAGGGCCUUAACGAUUACCAAAUUUGCUGAAAUUUUGCAAAGAUGAUCUAUACAAUAUUAUCUAGAUAUUGGACGGUGGAGAUAAGGAAAUUCGAUUAAAAAGUGGUGCAAAAAUAAAAAUCUGCACCAAUGGUGCAAAAAAUGAAAAAUCCGCACAAAACCAUUGGUGCGGACGUCCGCAGCUGAGAAAAACUAUAUAUAUAUAUAUGUGACUCUCUCUCUCUUUCUGAUGCUCACAGUCACUUUGCAACGCUUGUGGGAUCAGGUAUCGCAAGCUCAAGCUCAAGGAGAAGCAACGGGAGGGAGCUUCCGGAGAGGGCAGCUCUAGUGCAUCAUAAGGAUUAUGGAAGACACAGAUUAAUCCCGAGUGUUUCGGGUCUCAAUAAAUUAAAUUUUCAUAUUCUUAAGGAACAUGAACUUUAAAGUUUAUCUUCGAUUUAUACUUUUGCAGUGAAUUUUCUGUUAUGGGAUUAGUCUUAUGAAUAAGUUUCAAGUUCAUUAUUUUCCUUACAAUUGACUGAAAUCACUGAAUAUAUAACUUCGAAAUUUUAAGUUUUUAACUAGUCCUCGACAAGACGCAAGUUGGUGGUGCCCUUAAAGACAUGACCAGAACAGUUACCCGCUAAAGUCCAUGCUCUUUUAUGACUCUAAAACACUACAAAUGGCAAAAAACCAACCCACGUACACCGUUUUCCUUAUCCAAAAAGCAAAGCCCAUAUGUGUGCCAUGAUUUUGCUCUGGACCCAAUUAAUAAAUGUUUGCAUGACCCGCAAACAGGGAGACCCUCUUCAAUAAUUUGAUUGGUUUUUGUGCCUCCAAUAUUUGUUAAAUGAAUAAACCCCGACAUUCUCUUUGUAAAUCACAAAAGAGUUACUAGGUCCUCGUUUCUUCAGUACUGAAAUGAGAAACUAACUUCCUUGUCAAGCUGAAACUCCAUAGUUGCAUUUCUGGUAAUAAGGCCAUCCACUUAUAUUCGCUAGUUGCAUAUUGUCAACUUGUUUGAUUGGUUCCGAGUUCUUGCACUGUUUUUAUUCCAUGUUCAACUUCGUCUAGCUGUAAUUAUUGGUACAGAACAAAAGCAAGAGAUUGGUUUUUCUAGUAUUUACAUGUAGACUGGAUUGUUAUUAUGAUCAUGUAUUGUGGAACUCUUUUAUAAUAAGUUGUUGAUCUGUGGUUGCUGUUUUCUUCCUCCUUUGUAUGAUAUGGUUGAAUUUCACAGCAGUUGAGCUGUUGAGGUCAGAGAGCUUGCUGAGUGAUGAACUGGGUGACUUGGUAGAAUCAUAUAGUUUCUGCUGCCGCUGCUGCUUUGCCUAAGAGAAAGAGGACCUUCUGUUCUCUUGGGCCAAAUUUCAUUGGUAUGUUCCUCAUACUUCUCUACUCAUCAAGCUAAAAAGAUACUAUCUUUGAUGUUUUUUUGGUUUUAGUUUUGAUAACAAGCUUUAUGCUUUCUGGAUUGUUUUGGGUUGUUUUAAGUUUGUCGUGAAAAUUUUUCUUAGUAUAUUUUCUUGUGUUGCAUACUAUGCAGAGUAAGAAGAGCAGUAGAGGUCUAGAGUAACCGAAAAGGAUGACGGGGGAUUUAUGGACCGGGUUUUGUGGGGGAUCUGGAGGUUCAGAGAGUUUUAACUUUCAGUUUCUGGUUCAUCCUUCGUCAUGCGUUAAUCACGCGUUGAUAAUUUUCCUAAACAUUGUACUUCUUGUGGUGCUCUUGUUCACUGUGUUUCUCAAGUCAUCAAAAAUAGUUCAUGUUCCAGCCCGAUUUCUAGGCUUUUCGAGUUGGCAAAUAGUCUCGGCCAUUUUCAAUGGCGGUCUUGGAUUUGUGCACUUGUGCUUGGGAGUCUGGAUUUUAGAAGAGAAGCUGAGGAAUUCACACACUGCUUUGCCUUUGAAUUGGUGGUUACUUGGUAUUUUUCAAGGCUUCACAUGGUUGUUUUUGAGUUUAACUCUAAGCAUCAGGGUGAAGAAACUUCCAAGACAGCCUUCAAGACUGCUGUCCAUCCUUGCAUUUUUGUUCUCCGGAGUUGUCUUUGCUCUAUCGCUCUUCGCUGUCAUUUUCAGAAAUGAAAUAUCAGUUAUGAUAGUACUAGAUAUCCUGACUUUCCCAGGAGCAGCAUUGUUGCUGUUAUGUGUUUUCAAGGGGUAUAAGUAUGAAGACGGUGAUGAGAUCAUCAGUGACAAUGGCCUUUAUACCCCUUUAAAUGGUGAAUCCAAUGGCAAUAGUGAAGGUAAUGAUCAUACAACCCCAUUCAGCAAAGCUGGUUUAUUCAGUAGAAUGUCAUUCUGGUGGUUAAAUUCAUUGAUGAAAAGAGGUAGGGAGAAAACUCUGGAGGAUGAAGAUAUACCGGAGUUGCGCAAGGAAGAUCGAGCAGAAAGUUGUUAUGGGAUGUUUCUGGAGCAACUGAGCAAGCAGAAAAAAAUUGAACCAAAUUCCCAGCCAUCAGUGUUAAGGAUUAUAAUCCUAUGCCACUGGAAGGAGAUUUUACUAUCUGGUUUCUUUGCUUUGCUGAAGAUACUCACUAUCUGUGCUGGUCCUCUGCUUCUCAAUGCCUUCAUUUUGGUUGCAGAGGGAAAGGAAAGUUUCGAGCAUGAAGGUUAUCUGUUAGCCGGAGCACUUUUUGUUUUGAAAACCAUUGAAUCCUUGUCACAAAGGCAGUGGUACUUCAGAUGCAGGCUUAUUGGUUUGAAAGUUAGGUCUUUGCUGUCAGCAGCCAUUUACAAAAAGCAAUUGAGAUUAUCUAAUUCUGCUAAGUUGACACACUCAGGUGGUGAGAUUAUGAAUUAUGUUACUGUUGAUGCUUAUAGGAUUGGAGAAUUCCCAUUUUGGUUCCAUCAGACUUGGACUACUAGCAUCCAGCUCUGUUUUUCUUUGGUAAUUCUUUUCCGUGCGGUCGGCCUAGCUACAUUUGCAGCCUUGGUGAUGAUACUUUUUAGUGUUAUUUUGAAUGCUCCACUUGCUAAGCUACAACAUAAGUUUCAGAGUAAGCUUAUGAAGGCACAAGAUGAAAGACUCAAGGCUAGUUCAGAGGCUCUAGUGAACAUGAAGGUCUUAAAGUUAUAUGCAUGGGAAACACAUUUCAGGAAGGCAAUAGAGAAGUUAAGGAAAGAGGAGCACAAAUGGUUAUCUGCAAUGCUGUUCAGAAUAGCAUAUAGUACAUUCCUCUUUUGGACAACUCCUGUUUUAGUCUCUGCUGCAACAUUUGGGGCAUGCUAUUUGCUCAAUAUUCCGUUACAUGCGAAUAAUAUUUUCACUUUCAUCUCCACUCUGAGACUUGUUCAGGACCCCAUUCGAACAAUACCUGAUGUUUUUGCGGUUGUCAUUCAAGCCAAGGUUGGAUUUGCUCGUAUUGUGAAAUUCCUCGAGGCACCUGAGCUGCAACCUUCAAAUGUCCGGAAGUACAACAUGAAGAAUGUAGAUAAGUCCAUUGAAAUUAAGUCAGCUAAUUUUUCAUGGGAAGAGAAUUCAUCGAAGUCCAUACUGAGAAAUAUAAAUUUAGAGGUUAGACCAGGCGAAAAGGUGGCUAUAUGUGGAGAAGUUGGCUCAGGAAAAUCAAGCCUUUUGGCUACAAUUCUUGGAGAAAUUCCGACUGUGCAAGGAAAUGUAAGUUACUACUUUGCUCUGUUCCAUUAGCAUACAAAUCUUUUUUAAUGGGAUCUAGCUGUAAAUUACUUUGAAAUAGAAAAAUGUACAUAAUAUAACCAGCAUUUUCUUUAUCGACUUUCAGAUUCAAGUUUAUGGCAAGAUUGCCUAUGUUUCUCAAACAGCAUGGAUUCAGUCAGGAACUAUACAAGAAAAUAUUCUCUUUGGCUCUUGUAUGGAUAGUAAGAGAUACCGGGAAACACUUGAGAGAUGCUCACUAGUAAAGGACCUUGAGCUGCUUCCCUAUGGUGACCUUACUGAAAUAGGGGAGAGAGGGGUGAAUCUUAGUGGAGGUCAGAAGCAGCGGAUCCAACUUGCACGCGCUCUCUAUCAGGAUGCUGAUAUAUAUCUCUUGGAUGAUCCAUUCAGUGCUGUUGAUGCACAUACUGCCACAAGCUUAUUUAAUGUAAAUUUACAUUCCGAACUUGGGCUCUGCCUUUUUUUUAUUUUACUUCUUGCUUAUACUGCAAGCUAACUUGUACAUUGGCAGGAAUAUGUAAUGGAAGCACUUUCAGGCAAGACAGUACUACUUGUGACCCAUCAAGUUGAUUUCUUGCCUGCAUUUGAUUUCGUUUUGGUUAGUCUUCUCUAACUCUAAAUCUUUUGUGUGCAAAACCAAUAUAUUGAUUGUUGAGGGCUAGUAAUGUGCAAGUUCUGUGUUAUUCGUGAAUGAUUUAAUGUUAUCAUUAGCAGAUCACUGCUGGUCGAAUGCAAAUGAUUUUAAAUUUGAAUUUUGUAAACAGUUGAUGAUGGAUGGGGAGAUCCUACAAGCAGCUCCGUAUCAGCAUCUAUUGGAUAUAAGCCGAGAAUUCCAGGAUCUUGUCAAUGCACACAAAGAAACUGCUGGUUCCCAAAGGCUUUCAGAUGUCACUUCUGCUCAAAAUUCUGGAAUAUCAUCUACAGAGAUUAAGAAGAGUUAUGUGGAAAAGCCAUUGAAAGAAAAUAAAGGUGACCAAUUGAUUAAACUAGAAGAGAGAGAAACAGGAGACACAGGUCUAAAGCCAUACAUACUGUAUCUGAAACAGAACAAAGGAUUCUUGUACUUCUCAAUUGCCAUUUGUCUACACUUCACUUUCGUUAUGAGUGAGAUUGCGCAGAACUCUUAGAUGGCUGCUAGUGUCGACAAUCCAAAUGUUAGCACAUUGCAAAUGGUUUUGGUUUACUUAGCGAUUGGAUUCCCCGCUACAUUCAUUUUUCUGUUCAGAUCUCUUGCAGUAGUUAUUGGGGGUCUUGAAACGUCAAAGUCUAUAUUCUCACAACUACUAAACUCACUUUUUCGUGCACCCAUGUCAUUCUAUGAUUCAACACCCUUGGGAAGGGUACUUAGUCGGGUAUGCAUUUCAACUAGAAACUUUGGUUUAUAGACUAGGAGGGCAUGAAAGAUACUAAUAGCUUUAUCAGCUGCAUUGUUUCAUGGUUAGGUUUCGUCUGAUCUGAGUAUCACAGAUAUUGAUAUUCCAUUCGCUUUAGUAUUUGCUUGCACAUCUAUCAUCAAUGCCUAUAGCAAUCUUGGAGUAUUGAUUGUUGUUACCUGGCAAGUCCUGUUUGUCUCCAUACCAAUGAUCUGUGUCGCGAUUCAGCUACAGGUAAUGCUCUGUGAGGUUCUUUCAUAUGUCUGAAUUUAAAUUUGAAAGAUCAGAGAAAUUUCUUUUUGUCUGAAUAAAAUAUGAUUAAGCAUGAGGGAACAUGAUGGCAUUUCUUAUUUCAGAAAUAUUACUAUUCCACUGCAAAAGAGUUGAUGAGGAUCAAUGGAACAACCAAGUCCUUUGUAGCGAACCAUCUCGCCGAGUCUGUCUCAGGUGCCAUUACCAUAAGAGCUUUCAAUGAAGAAGAGCGCUUCUCGGCAAAGAACUUUGACCUCAUUGACACGAAUGCUAGUCCUUAUUUCCACAGUUUUUCGGCAAAUGAGUGGUUAAUUCAACGGUUAGAGAUGAUCAGCGCAGCGGUUCUUGCCUCUGCAGCACUUUGUAUGGUUUUGCUUCCAACUGAAACUUUUAGCUCUGGUAAGUUUUCCUUGAUAUUUCUGGAAGUACCUGCCUGGAGAUUAAACUAUUGAUUUUUGACACUUCUACUAAUGAUUAUAUAUGUUACUGCAGGAUUUGUUGGGAUGGCACUUUCUUAUGGUCUAUCAUUAAACGUGCUCUUGAUCAAUACAAUUCAGAACCAGUGCACUAUAGCAAAUUACAUCAUUUCUGUAGAAAGACUAGAUCAAUACAUGCACAUUCCGAGUGAAGCCCCAGAAGUAGUUGAGGGAAAUCGUCCACCAGCCAACUGGCCUGUAGUAGGAAAAGUGGAGAUACAAAAUUUGCAGGUAAAGACCGGUGUGUCUUUAGUAUUGAAAACUAAUAUUUAUGUUGAAGAAGGUUACUAAGCCAUAUUUGAUGUCAAAACAGAUAAGAUAUAGGGAAGACACACCACUUGUUCUCCGAGGGAUCAGUUGUGUUUUUGAAGGAGGGCAUAAAAUUGGUAUUGUUGGUAGGACAGGCAGUGGGAAGUCUACUCUAAUCGGUGCUCUAUUUCGGCUGGUUGAGCCAGCCGGAGGGAAGAUCAUAGUCGAUGGCAUUGACAUCUGCACUAUAGGCCUUCAUGAUCUGAGGUCAAGAAUUGGAAUAAUACCUCAAGACCCUACUCUCUUUAGUGGGACUGUUAGAUACAAUUUGGACCCUUUAUCUGAACAUUCAGACCAGGAAAUAUGGGA
rnacentral:lncRNA from 1 species